CUCCUACGGGAGGCAGCAGUGGGGAAUAUUGGACAAUGGGGGCAACCCUGAUCCAGCGACGCCGCGUGGGUGAAGAAGGCCUGCGGGUUGUAAAGCCCUUUCGGUUGGGAAGAAAAGCUGUGACCUAACACGUUGCGGCCUUGACGUAGCCAACUAAAGAAGCACCGGCUAACUCUGUGCCAGCAGCCGCGGUAAUACAGAGGGUGCGAGCGUUAAUCGGAAUUACUGGGCGUAAAGCGCGCGUAGGCGGCUUUUCAAGUCGAUUGUGAAAUCCCCGGGCUUAACCUGGGAACUGCAGUCGAGACUGUCUAGCUAGAGUAUGGGAGAGGGAAGUGGAAUUUCAGGUGUAGCGGUGAAAUGCGUAGAUAUCUGAAGGAACAUCAGUGGCGAAAGCGACUUCCUGGACCAAUACUGACGCUCAUGUGCGAAAGCGUGGGGAGCAAACAGGAUUAGAUACCCUGGUAGUCCACGCCAUAAACGAUGAGAACUGGAUGUCGGGAGGGUCUGCCUCUCGGUGUCGUAGCUAACGCGUUAA
rnacentral:rRNA from 1 species